rnacentral:rRNA from 1 species
UACGUAGGUGGCAAGCGUUGUCCGCAUUUACUGGGCGUAAAGAGCGCGCAGGCGGUCGUUCAAGUCGCGUGUGAAAGCCCCCGGCUCAACUGGGGAGGGUCACGCGAUACUGAUCGACUCGAAGGCAGGAGAGGGAAGUGGAAUUCCCGGUGUAGUGGUGAAAUGCGUAGAUAUCGGGAGGAACACCAGUGGCGAAGGCGACUUCCUGGCCUGUUCUUGACGCUGAGGCGCGAAAGCUAGGGGAGCAAACGGG